rnacentral:rRNA from 1 species
UGAGAUUUUAACACGAAGUGAGUGGCGGACGGGUGAGUAACACGUGGGUAACCUGCCCAGAAGCAGGGGAUAACACCUGGAAACAGAUGCUAAUACCGUAUAACAGAGAAAACCGCCUGGUUUUCUUUUAAAAGAUGGCUCUGCUAUCACUUCUGGAUGGACCCGCGGCGCAUUAGCUAGUUGGUGAGGUAACGGCUCACCAAGGCGAUGAUGCGUAGCCGACCUGAGAGGGUAAUCGGCCACAUUGGGACUGAGACACGGCCCAGACUCCUACGGGAGGCAGCAGUAGGGAAUCUUCCACAAUGGACGCAAGUCUGAUGGAGCAACGCCGCGUGAGUGAAGAAGGGUUUCGGCUCGUAAAGCUCUGUUGUUAAAGAAGAACGUGGGUGAGAGUAACUGUUCACCCAGUGACGGUAUUUAACCAGAAAGCCACGGCUAACUACGUGCCAGCAGCCGCGGUAAUACGUAGGUGGCAAGCGUUAUCCGGAUUUAUUGGGCGUAAAGCGAGCGCAGGCGGUCUUUUAAGUCUAAUGUGAAAGCCUUUCGGCUCAACCGAAGAAGUGCAUUGGAAACUGGGAGACUUGAGUGCAGAAGAGGACAGUGGAACUCCAUGUGUAGCGGUGAAAUGCGUAGAUAUAUGGAAGAACACCAGUGGCGAAGGCGGCUGUCUGGUCUGUAACUGACGCUGAGGCUCGAAAGCAUGGGUAGCGAACAGGAUUAGAUACCCUGGUAGUCCAUGCCGUAAACGAUGAUUACUAAGUGUUGGAGGGUUUCCGCCCUUCAGUGCUGCAGCUAACGCAUUAAGUAAUCCGCCUGGGGAGUACGACCGCAAGGUUGAAACUCAAAAGAAUUGACGGGGGCCCGCACAAGCGGUGGAGCAUGUGGUUUAAUUCGAAGCUACGCGAAGAACCUUACCAGGUCUUGACAUCUUCUGCCAACCUAAGAGAUUAGGCGUUCCCUUCGGGGACAGAAUGACAGGUGGUGCAUGGUUGUCGUCAGCUCGUGUCGUGAGAUGUUGGGUUAAGUCCCGCAACGAGCGCAACCCUUAUUACUAGUUGCCAGCAUUCAGUUGGGCACUCUAGUGAGACUGCCGGUGACAAACCGGAGGAAGGUGGGGACGACGUCAAAUCAUCAUGCCCCUUAUGACCUGGGCUACACACGUGCUACAAUGGAUGGUACAACGAGUUGCGAAACCGCGAGGUUUAGCUAAUCUCUUAAAACCAUUCUCAGUUCGGACUGUAGGCUGCAACUCGCCUACACGAAGUCGGAAUCGCUAGUAAUCGCGGAUCAGCAUGCCGCGGUGAAUACGUUCCCGGGCCUUGUACACACCGCCCGUCACACCA